rnacentral:rRNA from 1 species
GGGGGGGGUGCUAUACAUGCAAGUCGAGCGCGGGAAGCGAGUGGAUCCCUUCGGGGUGAAGCUCGUGGAACGAGCGGCGGACGGGUGAGUAACACGUGGGCAACCUGCCUGUAAGAUCGGAAUAACUCCGGGAAACCGGGGCUAAUGCCGGGUAAUACUUUCUUUCGCAUGAAGGAAAGUUGAAAGAUGGCUUCUUGCUAUCACUUACAGAUGGGCCCGCGGCGCAUUAGCUAGUUGGUGAGGUAACGGCUCACCAAGGCGACGAUGCGUAGCCGACCUGAGAGGGUGAUCGGCCACACUGGGACUGAGACACGGCCCAGACUCCUACGGGAGGCAGCAGUAGGGAAUCUUCCGCAAUGGACGAAAGUCUGACGGAGCAACGCCGCGUGAACGAUGAAGGUCUUCGGAUCGUAAAGUUCUGUUGUUAGGGAAGAACAAGUACCGUGCGAAUAGAGCGGUACCUUGACGGUACCUAACGAGGAAGCCCCGGCUAACUACGUGCCAGCAGCCGCGGUAAUACGUAGGGGGCAAGCGUUGUCCGGAAUUAUUGGGCGUAAAGCGCGCGCAGGCGGUUCCUUAAGUCUGAUGUGAAAGCCCACGGCUCAACCGUGGAGGGUCAUUGGAAACUGGGGAACUUGAGGACAGAAGAGGAGAGUGGAAUUCCACGUGUAGCGGUGAAAUGCGUAGAUAUGUGGAGGAACACCAGUGGCGAAGGCGACUCUCUGGUCUGUUUCUGACGCUGAGGUGCGAAAGCGUGGGUAGCAAACAGGAUUAGAUACCCUGGUAGUCCACGCCGUAAACGAUGAGUGCUAGGUGGUUAAGGGGGCUUCCACCCCUUAGUGCUGAAGUUAACGCAUUAAGCACUCCGCCUGGGGGAGUACGGCCGCAAGGCUGAAACUC